rnacentral:rRNA from 1 species
UAGGGAAUAUUGCACAAUGGGGGAAACCCUGAUGCAGCGACGCCGCGUGAGUGAUGAAGGCCUUCGGGUCGUAAAGCUCUGUCGUAUGGGACUAACAAAAUGAAGGUACCAUGCAAGAAAGGAUCGGCUAACUUCGUGCCAGCAGCCGCGGUAAGACGAGGGAUCCUAGCGUUGUUCGGAAUUAUUGGGCGUAAAGCGGGUGUAGGCGGACUUAUAAGUCAGGUGUGAAAUCCCAGGGCUCAACCCUGGAAGUGCACUUGAUACUGCAAGUCUUGAGUGUGGUAGAGGCUAUUAGAAUUCCUGGUGUAGUGGUGAAAUACGUAGAUAUCAGGAGGAAUACCGGAGGCGAAGGCGGAUAGCUGGGCCAACACUGACGCUGAGACCCGAAAGCGUGGGGAUCAAACAGGAUUAGAUACCCAAGUAGUCCCUGAGCGGGCUGGCAAGGCGCAU